rnacentral:rRNA from 1 species
CUAAACGACUCUCGGCAACGGAUAUCUCGGCUCUCGCAACGAUGAAGAACGUAGCGAAAUGCGAUACUUGGUGUGAAUUGCAGAAUCCCGUGAACCAUCGAGUUUUUGAACGCAAGUUGCGCCCAAAGCCUCUUGGCCGAGGGCACGCCUGCCUGGGCGUCACGCA